UGGGGAAUCUUCCGCAAUGGACGAAAGUCUGACGGAGCAACGCCGCGUGUAUGAUGAAGGUCUUCGGAUUGUAAAGUACUGUCUUUGGGGAAGAAUGACUGAUUUGAAAAUAUUGAGUCAGUAUGACGGUACCCAAGGAGGAAGCCCCGGCUAACUACGUGCCAGCAGCCGCGGUAAUACGUAGGGGGCAAGCGUUGUCCGGAAUUAUUGGGCGUAAAGGGCGCGUAGGCGGAUAGUUAAGUCCGGUGUGAAAGAUCAGGGCUCAACCCUGAGAGUGCAUCGGAAACUGGUUAUCUUGAGGACAGGAGAGGAAAGUGGAAUUCCACGUGUAGCGGUGAAAUGCGUAGAUAUGUGGAGGAACACCAGUGGCGAAGGCGACUUUCUGGACUGUAACUGACGCUGAGGCGCGAAAGCGUGGGGAGCAAACA
rnacentral:rRNA from 1 species